AAUUUACUCCAUUCUCUCGAUUGUUUAGGACUUCCCCGUUUGUAUGGAUGGCCUCUCCGAUAAGAGUAGCAACUUCGCCGCAAUAAAAAAAAAACCAAGCUCAUUAUCGUAUUGGUUUCCUGCACUAUUAACAGGAAAUUUAUUUACCUAAUCUCUGAGCGAUAUUUUGAAACUACGAAGUGAUUUAAAUACAAAAUUUAAAUUAAAAUUUUCAUUUACAUUCGACGAAACAUUUGUCAUUUAUUUAUUAAACGGAACUCCCCGUAAACACGUACAAUAUUUAUUACCUUUUUUUCCGAAUUCCACUCUAUCUCGAUUAAAUUGUGUGCUUUAGUGUCGAUAAGAAAGAAAAAAAAACGUUAUCUAAAUCGUAUAAUAUUGCCAAAUGAGGUAUCUCUUUUGGAUUGCUUCAAAUAUUUAUAACGAAAUGUGGCAUGUAGUGAGUUAAGCAAUACAUUUAUUUCCACACUGUGAUAAAACACUUCAAAUAACAUUACGCGCGCAUAAUAAUCUAUUCGGAGUUUUAGUUACAAAGUAGACUGCAGCAGUGAAAAUCCGUACUCUACCAGUUUAUACUUCCUUCCCGAACGAAAUACCACAGACAAUGUCACCGCAACUUUAUUUCGUGUUAUUCCUCUGCGUAAAUCUGAUCGUCAUCGCCAGAGUGGACAGUCGAAUUAUCUUCAAAAACAAAGACGUAUUCGUGAGUGGCGGUCGCUUAAGUAAGCUAGUUAAUACAGACAAUGAUUUGAACCCAAGUGUUAGCCAGGGAAAUAUCUUAACCGCACCGUCGAAGGCAUGCCCGAACAAUCAGAAACUAGACAGUCGUAAUCGUUGUCGAAAGACUGGCAGAUAUGAAGUGGGUUAAAGGAGAUCUGAGGUGCCGGUAAUUCUCUCAAUAAAUUUAUUACAAAAACGAACUUAUGUAUUUUAGACAGACAAUAAAGAACUUUUUGUAUACUUC